GCCUUCAUAGCUCAGUGGUAGAGCACUUCCUUGGUAAGGAAGAGGUCGGCAGUCCGAUUCUGCUUGAAGGCUC
rnacentral:tRNA from 1 species